rnacentral:rRNA from 1 species
AUCUUGCACAAUGGGCGAAAGCCUGAUGCAGCAACGCCGCGUGGGUGAAGAAGGUUCUUGGAUUGUAAAGCCCUUUCGGCUGGAAAGAAGGGUCUGUGAGUUAAUAACUCACAGAUCUGACGGUACCAGAAGAAGAAGCACCGGCUAAUUUCGUGCCAGCAGCCGCGGUAAUACGAAAGGUGCAAGCGUUGUUCGGAAUGACUGGGCGUAAAGCGCACGUAGGCGGGUUCGCAAGUAGGAUGUGAAAGCCCCAGGCUCAACCUGGGAAUGGCACCCUAAACUACGAACCUUGAAUACUUGAGAGGUUGGCGGAAUUCCUGGUGUAGGAGUGAAAUCCGUAGAUAUCAGGAGGAAUAUCGGAGGCGAAGGCGGCCAACUGGUGGUGUAUUGACGCUGAGGUGCGAAAGCGUGGGGAGCAAACAGG